rnacentral:lncRNA from 1 species
GUUUAUUUUUGUGUACUUAUUCAAUGCACGUUUUUUGAGUACAUACUGUAUGCCAGGCAAAUAGUUCUGGGGAAUACAACAGUGAACAAAGCCAGUGAUUUCAGAUUGUGAGACGUGCUAUUUGAAAGCCACUGUGGUCUGAGAGUGACUAGAAGUGGUGACUGUCUAUUAAUUGAUUGCUAUUCUUCUUUUGGUCUUUCAAUAUUUAUAGAAGAUUUCUUUCUUUCUGGGUGCUCACCUAAUUUAUAUUAUUCAGUGAAAAUCUACUAAGUGCUUCCACGGUUACAUCACCAUGUGCAACCCUUCUGUUAUUUUCAUCACUGUAUGAGAAAUAAGUGGAAAUCAUUUGCUGAGAGAACAGCAUGUGCCAGCCUUUUUGAUGGAUACUGGCUUUAUUAGUCUCAUGAAAGUGCCAGGAUUCUCUCCCAGUUGAGUCUUUUACUACUCAUACUGUGCACUAAUCACCUUUUUCCUGUUAGAGGGCAAGACACAAAUCCCGGAAUGAUUCUGUUCCUGCUGGUUAAAUGUCCAUGCUGAUGGCAACCAGUAAAGGUGUCUGUCCUACAAAAACACCCUUUCAAAGUUCUGCCUCUGUAGAUCCUGGUUCCCUCCUCAAACUUAAAAAUUGGUGGGAAUGUCUUGCUGUUUAUUAUUAUCAAAUAAUACUUAAAGAUGAAGUAUUCUUUAAGCAUAUUUUAAGCACAUUGGACCCCAGAUAUUAUUAACACACUCAUCCUGGAGUCACAGCUGUCCUCUCUUCCAUACUUGAUACUCCAACAUUUGAGCCAAAGUUCAACUGCAGAGCUUUGGGCAGGGCUUAAGGGGGAGUACAAUGGUCCCAGGAGAGGGAGCAUGACUCCCUUGCUCCAUGGCAGCCAUCUUCAUCAGUUAGCUGAUUACUACUUGAAGAUCUUGAAGAACUGGACUUGGAUGGAUUAAAGACGGGGGAGAACCAUUCCAGAUGCAUUUGACAGUUGGAAUCUCUCCUGUGGAUUCCCUUUGUGAGGGGUGGCCUUUGAUAUUCAUGUUGAAGAACCAGGAACCUGCCCCAGUACAUACAGACUCUUUCACUGACUAUUCAUUGGACUUGGGAAACACUUAAGCUUAUGUGACAGUUUCUACAUCUUUAACAUGGCAUUAAAAUAUUGAUACACCUCCACUUUUGAUGGCAUUUUAUCCUGAUUCCCAUCAUAAGUAGAAAACAUUGUAAGGCAAAAAUGCAUUUAAUACACCUAACCUACUGAAUACCAUAGCUUAGCCUAACCUGUAUUAGAUGUGCUCAGAACAAUUACUUUAACCUACUGUUAAAUAAAAUUAUGUAACAAAAAGCCCAUUCUAUAAUAAAGCAUUGAAUAUCUCAUGU